GGAAUAUUGGACAAUGGGCGAAAGCCUGAUCCAGCAAUGCCGCGUGAGUGAUGAAGGCCUUAGGGUUGUAAAGCUCUUUUACCAGGGAUGAUAAUGACAGUACCUGGAGAAUAAGCUCCGGCUAACUCCGUGCUAGCAGCCGCGGUAAUACGGAGGGAGCUAGCGUUGUUCGGAAAUACUGGGCGUAAAGCGAACGUAGGCGGUCUAGUAAGUCAGGGGUGAAAUCCCGGAGCUCAACUCCGGAACUGCCCUUGAAACUACUAAACUAGAAUCCUGGAGAGGUGAGUGGAAUUCCGAGUGUAGAGGUGAAAUUCGUAGAUAUUCGGAAGAACACCAGUGGCGAAGGCGACUCACUGGACAGGUAUUGACGCUGAGGUUCGAAAGCGUGGGGAGCAAAC
rnacentral:rRNA from 1 species